ACAUGUCAGCGGUGAAGAUCUAUUUCACAGCUUCUUUCCUUAGCAGGAGAAGGGAUGACAUUUUGUCGGCCUCGCCUCCCUGGAGAUUAAAAACCAAGCACCAGAGGAAGGCCAGGCAGCUGACAAAUAGGCUCUUCCCCUGCUGAGGGAAGGAAAACACAAGGCCCAAGGAAAGCUUUCCUCUUCACACGGAUUGCUGACCUCGACACGACGCCUAGACAAAACCCAGUAUCAUCACCCCCAUAAAACUAAUGGUGAAAUGUCCGUCAGAGAGAAGGGAGCGGUUUUAUUCAAACAGCAAUUCAAAACAUCAUUGUUCAUGAAUGUUGUGGCAGAAAAAAGAUACGAUCUGGCAUACUGGGCACCUGGAUAUUGUUCUUAAACACAAAUUGAAAUGCCCUAAAAAUUCAA